ensembl:lncRNA
UUCGUUUUUCAGGUCAUGGGCAGCCCUCUAGCUCUGUCCUAGUGUCUUACUGGGAGUAAUAAUCCUCUCUGAGAAUGGUUAGGAGAAUGGGUUGACCGUACACUGCUUAGGUAUUUCUGCACCAAAAUUUGGAAAACAACCUUUUUUUUGUAUAUGAAGGGCCAAACUGAAGGAUCCUUUGGAUGGCUUCUGAUCCUUCAAACAAUUUUAUUCUGGAGCAUAUCAGAAUGGUAAUGUGAAGUAACAUUAAAUAGAAGUAUUAACAGUGAAAUAGAAGAAAUGUGGUUUAUUUAUUAGAAGUAUUUUUACCUGGAAGGAGACAAAAAUGUACAUAAAGACUAUAGAUGUAAUGAAUAUUAAGUUAAUGGUAUCAAUAUGAAAAUGAGUUCAUGUGAUAGAUUUUAUAUCUGUAAAACUUACACAGUUUAAAACUGUUAUGCAAAUUCACUGUAUUGCACAUUAUCAUUUUAUCAAUGAGAUAAAUCUGUACAAGGAACUAAAUCUACUCAUGAAAUGUAUACUUGUUGUUUCUAUUUCUCAGGUAUCCUACAUUAGUCAGGACUGUGAAGAAAUUCCAGAAUUCCUGGGAAGAAAAUAUGGACAUAUGGCAAAAAGGCUAGAUCUUAGCUUCAACUUGUUAAGUAAAAGGAUGUAUGUUGGGUAUAUUUGUUACCAAGUGGACGACACUGUUUAAUAGGUAAUGUUUGUCUCCUUUUCUCCCACACUUGGAGCAUGAAUAACCAG